ACCACCGACCGUUGACUGUAC
rnacentral:piRNA from 1 species